rnacentral:rRNA from 1 species
UUGCACGCUGGCGGCAGGCCUCACACAUGCAAGUCGCGCGGAUGAAGGGAGCUUGCUCCUGGAUUCAGCGGCGGACGGGUGAGUAAUGCCUAGGAAUCUGCCUGGUAGUGGGGGAUAACGUCCGGAAACGGGCGCUAAUACCGCAUACGUCCUGAGGGAGAAAGUGGGGGAUCUUCGGACCUCACGCUAUCAGAUGAGCCUAGGUCGGAUUAGCUAGUUGGUGGGGUAAAGGCCUACCAAGGCGACGAUCCGUAACUGGUCUGAGAGGAUGAUCAGUCACACUGGAACUGAGACACGGUCCAGACUCCUACGGGAGGCAGCAGUGGGGAAUAUUGGACAAUGGGCGAAAGCCUGAUCCAGCCAUGCCGCGUGUGUGAAGAAGGUCUUCGGAUUGUAAAGCACUUUAAGUUGGGAGGAAGGGCAGUAAGUUAAUACCUUGCUGUUUUGACGUUACCAACAGGAUAAGCACCGGCUAACUUCGUG